rnacentral:rRNA from 1 species
GAUGAACGCUGGCGGCGUGCCUAAUACAUGCAAGUCGAGCGAACAGAUGAGGAGCUUGCUCCUCUGGCGUUAGCGGCGGACGGGUGAGUAACACGUGGAUAACCUACCUAUAAGACUGGGAUAACUUCGGGAAACCGGAGCUAAUACCGGAUAAUAUAUUGAACCGCAUGGUUCAAUAGUGAAAGACGGUUUUGCUGUCACUUAUAGAUGGAUCCGCGCCGCAUUAGCUAGUUGGUAAGGUAACGGCUUACCAAGGCGACGAUGCGUAGCCGACCUGAGAGGGUGAUCGGCCACACUGGAACUGAGACACGGUCCAGACUCCUACGGGAGGCAGCAGUAGGGAAUCUUCCGCAAUGGGCGAAAGCCUGACGGAGCAACGCCGCGUGAGUGAUGAAGGUCUUCGGAUCGUAAAACUCUGUUAUUAGGGAAGAACAAAUGUGUAAGUAACUAUGCACGUCUUGACGGUACCUAAUCAGAAAGCCACGGCUAACUACGUG